rnacentral:rRNA from 1 species
AUUGAACGCUGGCGGCAGGCCUAACACAUGCAAGUCGAGCGGAUGAAGGGAGCUUGCUCCUGGAUUCAGCGGCGGACGGGUGAGUAAUGCCUAGGAAUCUGCCUGGUAGUGGGGGAUAACGUCCGGAAACGGGCGCUAAUACCGCAUACGUCCUGAGGGAGAAAGUGGGGGAUCUUCGGACCUUACGCUAUCAGAUGAGCCUAGGUCGGAUUAGCUAGUUGGUGGGGUAAAGGCCUACCAAGGCGACGAUCCGUAACUGGUCUGAAAGGAUGAUCAGUCACACUGGAACUGAGACACGGUCCAGACUCCUACGGGAGGCAGCAGUGGGGAAUAUUGGACAAUGGGCGAAAGCCUGAUCCAGCCAUGCCGCGUGUGUGAAGAAGGUCUUCGGAUUGUAAAGCACUUUAAGUUGGGAGGAAGGGCAGUAAGUUAAUACCUUGCUGUUUUGACGUUACCAACAGAAUAAGCACCGGCUAACUUCGUG